ACAGUUCAAUAGCAACAUCAUUGUGCAAUUGAAUACCCAGAAGCACUUCUUUCUCUUAGGAUAAAAGUGAUUAUUUUAUGUCAGAUUCUUAGAACAGAAUUUAUCAUUAAUGUCAACCACCAACAAAGUUUUCUCCUCUUAUAACACCUAUUAAAUAGCAAUGCUAUGUUGGUGACAGCAGCCAAAAUUCUCAUGAAAAUAGUUUUAUCCUUAACACACUGUGCACUGGGCUGUCUCCGUGCAGCUGACACUUAACUAUUGUAUUUCCUACUUUUCCUACUCAUUUAUCAUUACUUCAUUAUGAUAAAUCAUCAAGUCACACAACGUGAGGUAAAGAAAGAUCUAUGUGAUCAUUAGUAUAGCAAAAUUUUUCUUCCAUGUAGCUUUAAAUAGGCUUGAAAAUGAGCUUCUAUCCGUAUAUUUUGAGAGUUACAAAACAUUACCAAAUCUUCAGUUUCACUCUUUUAAUCUUGGCGGGGGUCACGGUUCUUAGUACUACAAAUACUUUACAAAUUCACUUCCACAUGAGAUUUAAUGUGUGAGAAGCGAGGUCUAUUAUUUUUCUCAUCUUUUAAUCAAGGGGAACCUGCAGAACAGCUGUGAUUUCAGGAAUCUCAAAAUAUGUGCAAAAAAAAGUCCUUCUCUACAGUCCUUCACUUCAAUCUUGUCAUAAUAUUUCAGUAGUAAAAACAUACAAAUAUAGAUUUCUUUAAAUUCUCAGCAAGUUCACUGUUGAUCUCUGCUGUCUUUUUGUCUGUGGAAGUUUCUUUGCCUCACCUAAGAUUUCAAGGUUUUAUCACCUCUUCUAACAUUCAGUAUCUCACUCUUUUUUUUUUUCAGUUCUUUCCAAUAGACUGCAGAAAAUUAAAGAAAGGAAGUGACCAGUGGUGACAACUCUCUAGCAGCUGCAGAUAGAAACACUUUCUUUUCUCAUUUUGAAUGAACUACUUAUUUCUGCCUAUUUUGAAGGUUAGCGUUGGAUCCUCAAGUGUUGGCUCAUCCUAAAUAUUUGUGUGGAAAUCUUCAAAGUUGUGCAGCAAGAUUUUCUUCAGCCUCCUGUACUCUGAGGAAGAGCUAUGAAAUAGUCUCUCAUGCAAUACUGGAAGCUUAAGCCUGACUGAUACUGAACACUUUCUACUACAAAACACAUUCUACUAUCGCUGCUGAUGGGAAGAAAGACUAUGGAAGCAGAUUGCAUGGGCAAGAAUUUAAAGCUUGAAAAUCAAGAUGACUUUGGAAUAUGAGCCACCUUCUUAUUUCAGUGCAGUCUUCCUACGUGUAGCAGGUUCUUUGUCCAUGUUAUUGUGACUGCAGUUUUGGUCAGGUGAGGCUCUCAUCUGAGUAUCCCUGAGUUUAAGAAAGAUUGAGCACUGCAGUCAGAGGCAUCUCCUUGGAAUGGGCUUCUUACACAGGACAGGAUUCUGCUGAAGGUAACAAGGCUCUGGCAGAGCUCAUCGUGAAGCAAGACCUGUCAUCCCGAGAGGGUUGCAAAGAAGGUCAGAUUCGAUGGGAGUGACUUAAGAAAUAUGAAAAAUUAUUGAGAAGAAUGUCAUCUGCCAUGUCUUUCAGGCAUGGGGGCUGCAAGUGGUUUAUUUGGGCUGAAUGUUUUUUCUUUAAAAAAACAUAAAGUGUUUGCAAAUUUAAUUAUGAUCUCACACGUGGAAGAGGAUAUAGAUAUACAACUCAAAGUGAUAUUCUUUUCCUCUUUGAUUAGUUUAACUCUUCCUACUAUUAUAAAAUCACAGAAUCAUUAAGUUGGGAAAGACCUUUGAGUUCACCAGUUCCAACUGUACCUGUCCAUUAGUAAAUCUCAUCCCUGAGCACUUCAUUAUAUACAUAUUAAUGUAUAUAAAAUGGCUGCAUAUAA